CCUAGAACUGAAAUGUAUUCCCGCAUUAUACUGGUGGGCGACCUAGAACUUAAAUGUAUUCCCGCAUUAUACUGGUGGGCGAGCUAGAACUUAAAUGUAUUCCCGCAUUAUACUGGUGGCGACCUAGAACUUAAAUGUAUUCCCGCAUUAUACUGGUGGGCGACCUAGAACUUAAAAGUAUUCCCGCAUUAUACUGGUGGGCGGCCUAGAACUUAAAAGUAUUCCCGCAUUAUACUGGUGGGCGACCUAGAACUUAAAAGUAUGAAAUUGUUUCCCCGUUCUUCCGAGAAAAUUUUCGACAAUCGGCAGAAAAUUUUCUGCCCCGGUUUUUUGGUGGCUUCCAUGGCGUUGUAUCUUGCUGCCAUCAUCAAUUCUUUGCUUUCCUGCAACAGACAAAAGGAUUUAGUCAGUUUUAAUCGUGGUGGUAGAGGGUGCCUUUCUGGCGAGCCAUUUUUCUCUCUUCCCCCUUUCUUGCUCUUUGUC
rnacentral:lncRNA from 1 species